ACGCAAUAGAAAUAACAGACAAAUAGUGGCAAGUGCCAGUGAAGACGGUUUACCUGAAACAGUGUUUAAGUAGAGUAUAUAGUUUAAGGUUUUAAAUACUUACUGAUAAAUAUAUACUGAAAGGCAUUACAAAUGCGCCAACUAUUAAAU
ensembl:ncRNA C24A8.12 ncRNA